rnacentral:rRNA from 1 species
GACUCCAUGAAGUCGGAAUCGCUAGUAAUCGUGGAUCAGAAUGCCACGGUGAAUACGUUCCCGGGCCUUGUACACACCGCCCGUCACACCAUGGGAGUGGGUUGCAAAAGAAGUAGGUAGCUUAACCUUCGGGAGGGCGCUUACCACUUUGUGAUUCAUGACUGGGGUGAAGUCGUAACAAGGUAACCGUAGGGGAACCUGCGGUUGGAUCACCUCCUUACCUUA